UUAAGCCUUUCCCUUUCUUAUUCAAUCACAUGACUUUUCCAUCUUUUGUAAAUUAACGGUUGCAAGCUAUGUUUUUAUUACAUUCAAUCUAUUAAUUUAAUUGUUACCUUGAAUUGUUUUUAAUUUAAUUUUGUGAUGUUUAUUAUCUUUCGGUCAACGGUUAAUGUUAGUUGGUUAAUUUCAUCAGCCAUAUUAUUCAAUUGCUGGUCAAUUAUGUGAAUCCUGGUGAACAUGCUGUUUAAUACCUCGUCAAUGGACCCAAUUCACUUGGCCUAAAAGUACUCAUGGCUGUAUUCACUCACACACUCACACACACACACUUUUGCCAGCAAUUUCAUACUCAUUUUUUAUGCAAACAACAUUUUGUCAACCAAAAAAUUAUCAUUAACUAUUAUCAUCAUCAGUCGGAUCAUCCUGAUUCUCCCUUCAAAACGCAGCCAAAUGCAUCCAACACUGAUCCAGCCCACGCCUCUCUUACCCACCUUUGCUCAUCCUCAUCUUAAUCAUGGUUGAUCAUCACUCAAAAAAAUGGUUUAAUAAUGAGAAAAUAGGGGAAAAAAGGAAAGAUAACGAAAAAUGUCCCGUAAAGUUGAAGAGAAAAUCCUUUUGAUUCUCUUUCUUAUCUUUAAUUGUGUUAUUCACUGUUUCAAUGAGAUUCUCAGUCAUCAACAGCAUAUUAUUCAAAUUGGAUUUGUUAGUCCGUAAAAAAUCAAUCUAAAUCAUUCACAAAACUAUCAAAACAAAUGCAACAAUUUACAUCUCUAAACACAGACACACUAUCAUCAUCACCAUCACCACUGCAAUUUCACCAACAACAGCAACUGUAACAAGAGGAUGGAAAAUAUUAACAACCAACUUUCCACUUGAAUAAACAUGAUCCAUGAGGAAAACUCACAAUUAUAAUAAAAAAGAAAGGGAUGGAAAAAAGAAGACAAAAAGGGUCACAAGAUCUUUUCUUAUCAUCAUCAUCAGCAUGAAAGGGAAAAUAGCCCAGAGCAUAUUUUCAUUUCUACAUCAACAAUUACUUUAUUAACUCUAAUUUCUUGUCUUCCUCUUUUGUCAUCAUUAUCAUCCUAGUUUCACCCAAAAGACAUAACAAUAAUAAUGAUAAUAGUAAUAAUAUAAUAAUAUCAUCUUAUUGAUGCCACAAGCUAUUCUUAAAUUUACUUUUUCCUUGUUUACUUAGACAUUAGACUCUAUUGUCAUUAUCAUUGAUAUUAUUGUUUGAUUAAACUUUUAAUUGACAAUGUUUAAUCUUAAUUUAGGCAUAAAGCUUAAUUAACCAGGGUUAAUAAGCAAAGUAAAUGAUUACAUUGUUGUAAAGACAAGAAAUUAGAAGAAGUGAUUAGUAAAGUUUGGAAAUUUGGUGGAGAAGAAAAUGGUUCAUCAUUUUGCAUCCUGAUGUUUGUCAAAGACAUUAAAAGGUUCCUUCAACCCUCUGUUUGCUUACCUGUGAUACCUUUUAACCUGUCAAUCAAAUAGCAAGUCAAGGUUGCAAAUAUUCAAAUGAUGAUAAACCUAAUCAUUUAGAUUGAUGGUUACAGAAAAGGGAUGAAGAGUGAGAUAAAUAUAACCAUUAUCAUCAUCAUAAUCAUGUUGAUCACCAGCAACAAGCAGAAAAAAUGAAGAAAUUUUUUCUUUCCAUUCACCAGAAAUCACGUUUUCUUUCCAAUCAUUUCAUUUUAUUUGCUCAAUUGGUACUAAUUUGCUUUGAAUUAAUAACAAUUGAUAAAGUUGAAUAAAUAAAAAAAUGGUUAACUUGAA